rnacentral:rRNA from 1 species
ACUCCUACGGGAGGCAGCAGUGGGGAAUAUUGCACAAUGGGCGCAAGCCUGAUGCAGCCAUGCCGCGUGUAUGAAGAAGGCCUUCGGGUUGUAAAGUACUUUCAGCGAGGAGGAAGGGGGAAUGGUUAAUAACCAUUUUCAUUGACGUUACUCGCAGAAGAAGCACCGGCUAACUCCGUGCCAGCAGCCGCGGUAA